rnacentral:lncRNA from 1 species
CAAAACACUUCAAGUUCAAAGUUCAGACUAUAUGAAGCAGUUUGCACAUGUUUGACCGGAUCAAGAAGCUAAGAUGAACAUGUUGUCCGGGAGAUCAGACUACUAUGCCACAUUUGAGGCGGUUGAUCCCACAAAAUUGAACAAGAUAUGUGAAGAAUCUAGGAGUGUUUUUUCUGUUAAGUUUCUUUCGCAAUCAGACUCCACGAGCACUCAAAAAUAACCGCCAGCGAAGCUACCGGACAUCUCCUCGGUACUCAUCAGCUCAUCUGUUGGGUCAAUGGCACUCUUCAGCAUUUCUCCCAAACUCGCAAAUUCACCGUAAUGAUAGAUGGCGUCGGACUGAAAGGGGGCAUCAUUGGCAGCCUCGGCUUCCUCGACCUCAACAUUGUUGGUAGCAGCUGCUCCUUCUUCAUCUUCUGCAGCCUCGGCUUCCUCGACCUCAACAUUGUUGUCAGCAUUGGCUCCUUCUUCAUCUUCUGCAGCCACAAGGUCCAUAGCAACAAGAUCAGUUUGUGCAGACUAAAACAAAGUCAAACAUGUGUGUCAUUUUUUUAGCAAAGUCAAACCUGCUACAGAAGGUCCGGCACAUACGAGC